rnacentral:rRNA from 1 species
AAAAAAAUAUAAAUAUUAGGUAGUAGUGGUUGUCUUUAAACUUAAAAAAUUUGGCGGUGUUUUAAGCUUAUCAGAGGAACUUGUUUUAUAAUCGACAAUACCCGGCAAAUCUUACUUAAAUUAACAGCUUGUAUAUCGUUGUGGUAAUAAUAUUUUAUAAUCAUUAUUAAGGGUAAUUUUAUUUUUAAUAUCAGAUCAAGGUUCAGCUUAUGUUUAAGUAAAAAAUGAGUUACAAUAUAAAAAUAUAUUAUGGAAUUUAUUAUUAAAAGUUAAAUGAAAGAGGAUUUGAAAGUAUUUUUAUAAUAACAUGCUAAAUUGAAUUAGCUCUAAGACAUGU